CCUACGGGAGGCAGCAGUAGGGAAUAUUGCUCAAUGGGGGAAACCCUGAAGCAGCAACGCCGCGUGGAGGAUGAAGGUUUUCGGAUUGUAAACUCCUUUUGUUAGAGAAGAUAAUGACGGUAUCUAACGAAUAAGCACCGGCUAACUCCGUGCCAGCAGCCGCGGUAAUACGGAGGGUGCAAGCGUUACCCGGAAUCACUGGGCGUAAAGAGCGCGUAGGCGGGAUAGCAAGUCAGAUGUGAAAUCCUAUGGCUUAACCAUAGAACUGCAGUUGAAACUGUUAUUCUAGAGUAUGGGAGAGGUAGGUGGAAUUCUUGGUGUAGGGGUAAAAUGCGUAGAGAUCAAGAGGAAUACUCAUUGCGAAGGCGACCUGCUAGAACAUAACUGACGCUGAUGCGCGAAAGCGUGGGGAGCAAACAGGAUUAGAUACCCCUGUAGUC
rnacentral:rRNA from 1 species